GAGGAAAGCCAAUAACUUUCGGAGAGCCUCUGCAGACUUUGCUCCGCCGCUUUGCAUGCUGAAGAAUGGCUGGUUGGUAAUCCUCUUUUCACUCGGAAACAACCUCAAAGAAUGCUAAAGCAAAGGAAGAAAGCUGUACGUUGGACAGUCUUUCUACCUCAGCCAGGAAAGGAAAUUCCUUCCCAGCACCAAAGCUCCAUAAACGCAGCCCGCUCUGCACCUACCCAGCACUUGGUCAGUCCCGGUGCCCAGCCGCCCACCCUGCUCUGUGCAAACACCCUGCAGUUUUCUGAGGGAUUGGUUUCGGAUCUGCAAGGAGUCAAAGCAAAAAGUUCAGACACGCCUGUAUGCGCACGCCAGACAAGAAAGGAAAAUGCAGCCUGUGCUCAGAUGGCUGGAAGGGAUCACGGAGAGGUGAAGGUAUUCUGCGGAGCGCACCACUUGUGUCGCUGAUUUUCUUUAAUUUGUAGUUUGCCGGCUUUAGUUGUCUACAAACGUAAUUAAAGGUAAUUAGAAAAACAAA